rnacentral:rRNA from 1 species
AGUGAACGCUGGCGGUAGGCCUAACACAUGCAAGUCGAACGGCAGCACAGUAAGAGCUUGCUCUUACGGGUGGCGAGUGGCGGACGGGUGAGGAAUACAUCGGAAUCUACUUUUUCGCGGGGGAUAACGUAGGGAAACUUACGCUAAUACCGCAUACGACCUAUGGGUGAAAGCAGGGGAUCUUCGGACCUUGCGCGAUUGAAUGAGCCGAUGUCGGAUUAGCUAGUUGGCGGGGUAAAGGCCCACCAAGGCGACGAUCCGUAGCUGGUCUGAGAGGAUGAUCAGCCACACUGGAACUGAGACACGGUCCAGACUCCUACGGGAGGCAGCAGUGGGGAAUAUUGGACAAUGGGCGCAAGCCUGAUCCAGCCAUACCGCGUGGGUGAAGAAGGCCUUCGGGUUGUAAAGCCCUUUUGUUGGGAAAGAAAAGCAGCAGGUUAAUACCCCGCUGUUCUGACGGUACCCAAAGAAUAAGCACCGGCUAACUUCGUG